ensembl:ncRNA F31B9.6 ncRNA
AACUUGUGGAACACAAUGCCUUGAUACAAAAAGUACGGGGAGGCAAAACACGCAGCCACGCACCAAACACCUGCGAGCACCGAAAUCUGAAAAUAAAAUUGGUUAGGGGAGCAGGAUGGAAGUACAAGAUACCGUAGUUUUUGUGGAGA